rfam:Glycine max cultivar Williams 82 chromosome 18, whole genome shotgun sequence.
UCGUUAAGUGAUGAUGUGAUAAACAAAGUGUCAUGUUUUCACGCCUUGUCAUAGACACCUCAUUGACAUGUCAUCACCUUCAAUGAAGUGGCACUGAUGUGUCAAUGAUUGGGCAUGGUGAAAUGACACUUUGUCUGUUACGUUAUCACUUAACGAAA